GGCCAGACUCCUACGGGAGGCAGCAGUGGGGAAUAUUGCACAAUGGGGGAAACCCUGAUGCAGCGACGCCGCGUGAGCGAUGAAGUAUUUCGGUAUGUAAAGCUCUAUCAGCAGGGAAGAAAAUGACGGUACCUGACUAAGAAGCCCCGGCUAACUACGUGCCAGCAGCCGCGGUAAUACGUAGGGGGCAAGCGUUAUCCGGAUUUACUGGGUGUAAAGGGAGCGUAGACGGCUGCGCAAGUCAGAAGUGAAAGCCCGGGGCUCAACCGCGGGACUGCUUUUGAAACUGUGUAGCUAGAGUGCGGGAGAGGUAAGUGGAAUUCCUAGUGUAGCGGUGAAAUGCGUAGAUAUUAGGAGGAACACCGGUGGCGAAGGCGGCUUACUGGACUGUAACUGACGUUGAGGCUCGAAAGCGUGGGGAGCAAACAGGAUUAGAUACCCGGGUAGA
rnacentral:rRNA from 1 species